rnacentral:rRNA from 1 species
GACGAACGCUGGCGGCGUGCUUAACACAUGCAAGUCGAGCGGGUUCCAACCGGUGGCAACACCGGGGGAAGAUCUAGCGGCGAACGGGUGAGUAACACGUGAGCAACCUGCCCCGAAGACUGGGAUAACACCGGGAAACCGGUGCUAAUACCGGAUGUCGUCAUUAGGCCGCAUGACCUGAUGAUGAAAGGAUUCAUCGCUUCGGGAGGGGCUCGCGGGCUAUCAGCUUGNGGGUGGGGGUAACGGCCUACCAAGGCGACGACGGCUAGCUGGUCUGAGAGGACGACCAGCCACACUGGGACUGAGACACGGCCCAGACUCCUACGGGAGGCAGCAGUGGGGAAUCUUGCGCAAUGGGCGAAAGCCUGACGCAGCGACGCC